GGGGGCUGAGCAAAGCUCAGCUGUAGAGGCUCUCCAGGAGAAGAUCCCCCAUCACACCAGCAGGACAGAACGCAUGGAUCCCUCACACGAGUCUCAAGCCUUAGACUGCCUCUCCUGAUACUUCUAAACUAGCAGUGGAUCCUGAGACCAAGACUACCUCAUUCCAGUUACUCCUGAGAGCCACUGGGGGACCUUAAGCUGCUCUUCAAACAAUCACCUUCCAACUAAAGAUAAACUCAUUUGAGUGCAAAACAGCAGCACGUACAGAUUUUAGAUGCCACCACAAAUACCAUGAACAUAGAACAACAAAAGAAAGCUAUCACCACCAGGAACUAAAACAAAGGAUGAUCCACCACUACAUGGAACUUUCUGCUAUGGGCUCCUAGAUAGGCCUCCUCUGGAGGAACCCUGACUGCUGCUUUAUAACUCCGCCCAUCCUGUCAACUGGAAGCAGCAAUGACCAAUCCCCUCCUGAGAACAGUAUGCCUCACAUCAGAGAACAGGUACUUGUGAAGACAUGUGCAGAGAGUAUAAGGUACAUGGACAAUGUCUCAAUACCUUGUGGAUCCAGAGCCCCAACUAAUGGAAGUCCAUCACCCAAUUCCUGAGCUGAAAACCAUCGUGUGUUGUCAGAGACUUCCAGCCAAACUGGUAAUGGAGGUGCUAAUUGACUCAAUACAAAAGAGCAAGCACUACCAAAGAUAGCCUGCAGACUCCAGACUCCAGGACCUCUCCUUUUGAAGAGUCUGUUCUCACCUGCUACUUUUGCUUUGAUUAAAACAUUAGCUCUGCUACACUUUGAAUCCUUUACCACCUUUCAAUUAUUUAAUUGGUGAAAGAACAACUCUACUGCUACAACCAUAAUAAGGCGUGUGGUGCUUCUACACACUGAACCCAUCCCUCUAGCCCUUAUUAUCACCACCAUUAUUAUUGUAUUUAUGCUGUAUUGAAAUUGUCUUAUUUAUCCAUUUUUCCAUGAUCAUCCUCCUUUCAUGCCAUCUCCACAAGGUCAGGGACCUUUUUUAUUUGGCAUUGUAACUCCAAUGUCUAGAAUGCCAUAUAUACUAGGAAGUACUCCUGGGAAGCCAGAUCACCAAGCAACAGGAGGAAAGGAUAUUUACUGAAUAAAUGUAACCUUUCCAAACCUUC